rnacentral:lncRNA from 1 species
UCAGAAACAACAGUGGAACCACAUUCAUCCUCUUGGGCUUCUCAGAUGUUCCAGAACUAAUCUCACCAAGUUCCCAUCCUGGCCUAGAACUUGUGAUUCUCCUACUUCAUCCUCCUGAAUGGCUGGGAAUACAGGCAUGUGUCACCAUAUCCAGUCCUCAAUGAGUUUUUAAAGAAACACCACUGUGAAAAUAUGAUAAUCUAUGGUGGAACUCACCAGAAGUUUGAUACUGAGAGAUUGAAUCUAAAAAAAAUCUUGUGUGAAAAAUCAGUGAGGUUUUUGUCAGUUUCCUAUCUAUUACGUCUUUUCUUCCUUUUGGAAUGGGGAUGUUUACCUUGUCACACUGUGUGUCAGAAAUAUUUAUUUGAUUUUAACAGGUGAUCACAACUAGGAGUUUGCCUUAAGUCUCAGAGGAGAAUUUGGACUUGGACUUUUCAGCAGUGCUGGGAAUUGUUAAUACUUUGGUGACACUUAGAGGUGGACUAGAUGCAUUUUCCCUAAUGAUAUGUGCAUGGUUCUUUUGAUGACUGGGGCGUAGUGUCAUUAUUUGGAUCAAGAAUGACCCCCAAAGCCCCUUAUGCUCUGGGGUUGGGCUUUCAGAAGGUGAUUGGGUCAUAGGCCACUAUACCCAUUAGUGAUUUUAUCCCUUGAGAGUUCACAGCUGAAUGUGCAGUCAGGAUGUGAUCUGAUUGGAAGAAGUUGAUCACUUUGUGCAUGUCCUGGUAAGAUAUAUCUUGGCCCUCAGCUCCUCCUUUCAGUUUCUGCUUCCUGAUUGCUAGGAGAUAAGCUUUCCUCUACCAUUGUCUUCCACCAUGACUUUUCUGCUUUGUGUCCUGCAAUCCAUGGAAUAAAAGUUUGAGGCAAAAUAAAAUUUUCCUCCUCUAAGUUGUGUGUGUUGAAUAUUUUGUCCAGCGUGGAAAGUGACUAUGACACAGUGGAAGAGGUAACUUUCCAUACACUUCCUAUUUCAUUAAGGGAGAAAAUAUAACUCUGUGCACAAUUUUAUAUGGACAAAAUAGAG